AAUUGUAUAUCCUUGGAUUUAUUUUAAAAGAAUCAUGCUAGAAACAUGUUAAAGCUUCUCCUUAAAGCAUAAUAUGGUAAUAGUCGUGACAAAUAGCAUAUCUGAGAAAACUAAUGUUGCAUAACAACUUUAAAAAUAUCUGCAGACCACGUGAGACAGCGAACGUAGUACUGCCAAGUACCAACACUUUGACAAUGCUUAACUAGACAGUGGUUGGCAUCAAUUGUCUCCCUAUACUGUUGUUAACUUCUUAUAGCUUGCUUGCCUUUUCCUCUCACGAGUUUAACCUACAUUUUCUAUCAAUACUAGCUAUAGGUAGCGAACUCCCUCCUCUCGAGAUUCUAGAAGCAAAAGCAAACAUGUGCAAUGUGACCAGUUGAUGGAAUUGAUCGAGGAAAGAAAAAAGACAAAAACAAACAAACAAGCAGCAUGCUAGAACAUAGGAAUUAACUAUAUACACUUCUUUAAGUAAUGAAAGAAUAAAGGAACAACUUCUUUCAAGAAAGAAUCAAAAUAAUUUUCCUUAGCGCUUCAAAACAAAAAGAGAAUACUCAACAAAACCUCAAAAGAGAGAGAAUCGAUGUACAUUCGGUGAACUACCCCCGGCC
rnacentral:lncRNA from 1 species